AAGUCGUAACAAGGUUUCCGUAGGUGAACCUGCGGAAGGAUCAUUAACAAAUUACAACAUUUGUUGAAACCUCCAUUCUGUGUAUCUUUACUUGUUGCUUCCCCCGGGCCAGCCCCCGGGGGGAGGUAGCCGUAAACUCUGUUUUCAUUGACAUCGGUCUGAACUUGUUUUUUAUUAUCAAACGUUAAAACUUUCAACAACGGAUCUCUUGGUUCUCCCAUCGAUGAAGAACGCAGCGAAAUGCGAUAAGUAGUGUGAAUUGCAGAAUUCAGUGAAUCAUCGAAUCUUUGAACGCACAUUGCGCCCUCCGGCAUUCCGGGGGGCAUGCCUGUUCGAGCGUCAUCAAAAACUUCAAGCACAAGGUGGUUCGUCGUCGAACCCCUUUGUCUUGGUCUUGGGCCUGAGGAGUUCAAAUCCUCUGCCUGCAAUCCAGUGGCAGAUGUCCUGCGUAGCAAGAGCGUGAUAAAAAAUGUCAGUCGCUAUUGGUAUCGGGAAGAUUUCGCCAAAACCCCCAUGCUUUUUCAAGUUUUGACCUCGGAUCAGGUAGGGAUACCCGCUGAACUUAAGCAUAUCAAUAAGCGGAGGAAAAGAAACCAACAGGGAUUGCCUUAGUAACUGCGAGUGAAGCGGCAAAAGCUCAAAUUUGAAAUCUGUGUCCUUAGGGGCAUCGAGUUGUAAUUUUGAGAUACGUUUUCGACCGACGGGGCCGCCUUAAGUUCCUAGGAACAGGACGUCACAGAGGGUGAGAAUCCCGUGAAUGGCGCGCCCCUGACGCAUAUGAUACGUAUUCAACGAGUCGAGCUGUUUGGGAAUGCAGCUCAAAAUGGGUGGUAAAUUUCAUCUAAAGCUAAAUAUUGGGGAGAGACCGAUAGCGCACAAGUAGAGUGAUCGAAAGAUGAAAAGCACUUUGAAAAGAGAGUUAAAAAGUACGUGGAAUUGUUGAAAGGGAAGCGCUUGAGACCAGACUCAAUCUGUUCCGAUCAACUUCAGUUCUCUGUUGUGCACUCGGGACGUUUUGGGACAGCAUCGGUUCUGGCGGAGGGAUAAAGCCUCGGGAAAUGUGGCACUCUUCGGGGUGUGUUAUAGUCCCUUGGGUAAUGCCUCCAGCCGGGACCGAGGACCGCGCUUCGGCUAGGAUGCUGUCAUAAUGGUCUCCAGCGACC
rnacentral:rRNA from 1 species